GUGGGGAAUAUUGGGCAAUGGGCGAAAGCCUGACCCAGCGACGCCGCGUGGGUGAUGAAGGCCUUCGGGUUGUAAAGCCCUGUCAUGCGGAAAGAACAGUCUUGUAGUGAAUAACUGCAAGAUUUGACGGUACCGCAGGAGGAAGCACCGGCUAACUCCGUGCCAGCAGCCGCGGUAAUACGGAGGGUGCAAGCGUUGUUCGGAAUUAUUGGGCGUAAAGGGCGCGUAGGCGGUAAUGAAAGUCAGAUGUGAAAUACUUCGGCUCAACUGAAGAACUGCAUCUGAAACUUCAUAACUAGAGUACGGAAGAGGGAAAUGGAAUUCCCGGUGUAGAGGUGAAAUUCGUAGAUAUCGGGAGGAACACCAGUGGCGAAGGCGAUUUCCUGGUCUGGUACUGACGCUGAGGCGCGAAAGUGUGGGGAGCAAACAGGAUUAGAUACCCUAGUAGUCC
rnacentral:rRNA from 1 species